rnacentral:misc_RNA from 1 species
CUCCCUGUCAAGUCUCCUACAUUUGCUUUCUUUCUCUCUCUAAUUCUUUACAUUUAUCCCUUUUUACUUUUCUCACUUAGGUUUAAUAAUGGGUAGAAAAGGGGCAGUGGAGUACUAAGCAAAAAAAUUGGGUUAAUUUUAUUCAUCAUCCCUCAAUUUUACUCAAUCCAGUUCUGAAAAAGUAAUGGAACGUUCAAAUUGACCCAUCAACCCCAGAUUUUCAUCUUAACAAAAGAAAAAAUGCCCAUAACGUAUGACUGCAAAAACUGUUGAACAGGAGGCUAUAGUGGUAUAGUGGCUUUCAAGCGCAUUGAAAAUGAAACAUAACAAGCAAAAUAAUAAUAAUAAUAAGGUGUUCAAAUUCUAUAUUGGGGUGAUAUUAAUUC